GACGAACGCUGGCGGCGUGCUUAACACAUGCAAGUCGAACGGAAAGGCCCUGCUUUUGUGGGGUGCUCGAGUGGCGAACGGGUGAGUAACACGUGAGUAACCUGCCCUUGACUUUGGGAUAACUUCAGGAAACUGGGGCUAAUACCGGAUAGGAGCUCCUGCCGCAUGGUGGGGGUUGGAAAGUUUCGGCGGUUGGGGAUGGACUCGCGGCUUAUCAGCUUGUUGGUGGGGUAGUGGCUUACCAAGGCUUUGACGGGUAGCCGGCCUGAGAGGGUGACCGGCCACAUUGGGACUGAGAUACGGCCCAGACUCCUACGGGAGGCAGCAGUGGGGAAUAUUGCACAAUGGGCGGAAGCCUGAUGCAGCAACGCCGCGUGCGGGAUGACGGCCUGCGGGUUGUAAACCGCUUUCGCCUGUGACGAAGCGUGAGUGACGGUAAUGGGUAAAGAAGCACCGGCUAACUACGUG
rnacentral:rRNA from 1 species